rnacentral:rRNA from 1 species
AUUGAACGCUGGCGGCAUGCUUUACACAUGCAGGUCGAACGGUAACAGGCCGCAAGGUGCUGACGAGUGGCGAACGGGUGAGUAAUGCAUCGGAACGUUCCCAGUCGCGGGGGAUAACUACUCGAAAGAGUAGCUAAUACCGCAUACGCACUAUGGAUGCAAGCUUGGGACCGUAAGGCCUCGCGCGAUUAGAUCGUACGAUAUCAGAUUAGGUAGUUGGCGGGGUAAAGGCGCACCAAGCCAACGAUCUGUAGCUGGUCUGAGAGGACGAACAGCCAGACUGGGACUGAGACACGGCACAGACUCCGACGGGAGGCAGCAGUGGGGAAUUUUAGACGAUGGGCGCAAGCCUGAUCCAGGAAUGCCGCGUGCAGGAAGAAGGACUUCGGGUUGUAGACUGCUUUUGUACGGAGCGAAGCAGCUCUGGUUAAUACCCGAGGAUAAUGACGGUACCGUAAGAAUAAGCUCCGGCUAACUACGUG